UUGUCCCCAUUUUGAUUGUUAAGCAUUGGUUUCUUCAAUUCAACAAUUCUUUUUGAUGGGUUUUAUCAGGCACUUCUUUUAUUGUCCUCAAAAUCUUUCAAUAUAACCUCAAAACGUGUUGCCGUAGCAUAAACCAUUUAUUAUUACGUUAUUCGUCAAGAAUUAAUAAUGAAAUUAACCAAAAUUGAUUUGUUUUACCUGUUUUAAAUUCAUAUACAUUUUCCACUAAUUUUAAGUUAAAAAAAUUAAAUUUUAGGUUAUGUUAUGAUUUGGGUUGACACAUUUUUUUUUGACAGCUGUUAUACAAGAUUUUUAAUCCUGUUUUGUCCCCAUUUUUAUUGUUAAGCAUUGAUUUCUUCAAUUCAAUAAUUCUUUUUGAUGGGUUUUAUCCGGCACUUCUUUUAUUGUCCUCAAAAUCCUUCGAUAUAACCUCAAAACUCGUUGCCUUAGCAUAAACUUUAUUAUAAACCAUUUAUUAUUACGUUAUUCAUCAACAAUUAAUAAUUAAAUUAACCAAAAUUGAUUUGUUUUACCUGUUUUAUAUUCAUAAUACGUUUUCGACUCAUUUUAAGUAAAAAAAAUUAAAUUUUAGGUUAUGUUAGGAUUUGAGUUGACACAUUUUUUUUUGACAGCUUUUAUACAAGAUUUUUAAUCGUGCUUUGUCCCCAUUUUGAUUGUUAAGCAUUGGUUUCUUCAAUCCAACAAUUCGUUUUGGUUAUGUUAUGAUUCGGGUUGACACAUUUUU